rnacentral:lncRNA from 1 species
AGUAAGAAGGCGCCAUUGAUUUUCACAGUUGAGGGAAAUAAAUAUGUGGUUACAUGCAAAAAAUGAAAGGUGUUGCCUUUCUUUUACAGGGCAAUAGGUACAAAAAUUAAAAUAACAUAUUAGUGCAACUGCAAAUUCAAUAACUCGUCACUCGACUCCAGAAAUUCUAAAACUUAAGCAGUCAUAUGUGAAUCAUGAAUGCAAGGGCUUAAGUUCGUUAAAGCCGGGCAAACGCCUCUUUUCUAAAAAUGCAAACUUAUUUUUGCGCUGAAACUGUUGCGAUGAAUAUUGAACUCUGGGCAUACAUUUUUUUUGAAAAAGGAGACUCCCGGCCUCUGCAUCAAUCGAUGCAUGCAACCAUCUUUGUUACUUAUUCAACAAAGGUCUGACAAGAACAUACAUCAAGCCACCCGAAGCCUCCACUCACACCUACAAAACGCGAUAAUGUGGAGUGUUUUCACUCCCCAG